AGGGUUCGAUUCUGGCUCAGGAUGAACGCUGGCGGCGUGCUUAACACAUGCAAGUCGAACGGGAUCCAUCAAGCUUGCUUGGUGGUGAGAGUGGCGAACGGGUGAGUAAUGCGUGACCGACCUGCCCCAUACACCGGAAUAGCUCCUGGAAACGGGUGGUAAUGCCGGAUGCUCCAGUUGGAUGCAUGUCCUUCUGGGAAAGAUUCAUCGGUAUGGGAUGGGGUCGCGUCCUAUCAGCUUGAUGGCGGGGUAACGGCCCACCAUGGCUUCGACGGGUAGCCGGCCUGAGAGGGCGACCGGCCACAUUGGGACUGAGAUACGGCCCAGACUCCUACGGGAGGCAGCAGUGGGGAAUAUUGCACAAUGGGCGCAAGCCUGAUGCAGCGACGCCGCGUGAGGGAUGGAGGCCUUCGGGUUGUAAACCUCUUUUGUUUGGGAGCAAGCCUUCGGGUGAGUGUACCUUUCGAAUAAGCGCCGGCUAACUACGUGCCAGCAGCCGCGGUAAUACGUAGGGCGCAAGCGUUAUCCGGAUUUAUUGGGCGUAAAGGGCUCGUAGGCGGUUCGUCGCGUCCGGUGUGAAAGUCCAUCGCUUAACGGUGGAUCCGCGCCGGGUACGGGCGGGCUUGAGUGCGGUAGGGGAGACUGGAAUUCCCGGUGUAACGGUGGAAUGUGUAGAUAUCGGGAAGAACACCAAUGGCGAAGGCAGGUCUCUGGGCCGUCACUGACGCUGAGGAGCGAAAGCGUGGGGAGCGAACAGGAUUAGAUACCCUGGUAGUCCACGCCGUAAACGGUGGAUGCUGGAUGUGGGGACCAUUCCACGGUCUCCGUGUCGGAGCCAACGCGUUAAGCAUCCCGCCUGGGGAGUACGGCCGCAAGGCUAAAACUCAAAGAAAUUGACGGGGGCCCGCACAAGCGGCGGAGCAUGCGGAUUAAUUCGAUGCAACGCGA
rnacentral:rRNA from 1 species